GACCAUCCUGUUGGCCUAGUGGUUAGAGCAACUGACUCAGAUGCUGGAGGUUGUGGGUUAGAAACCCAGCCAAGUCA